AGCAAUACGGGAGUGGCGCACGGGUGAGUAACACGUGGGAAUAUGCCCAGCAGUGGGGGAUAACCGAGGGAAACCUCGGCUAAUACCGCAUACGCCCCUAGGGGGAAAGAUUUAUCGCUGUUGGAUUAGCCCGCGUCCGAUUAGCUAGUUGGUGUGGUAACGGCGCACCAAGGCGACGAUCGGUAGCUGGUCUGAGAGGAUGAUCAGCCACACUGGGACUGAGACACGGCCCAGACUCCUACGGGAGGCAGCAGUGGGGAAUAUUGGACAAUGGGGGCAACCCUGAUCCAGCCAUGCCGCGUGAGUGAAGAAGGCCUUAGGGUUGUAAAGCUCUUUCGGCGGGGACGAUGAUGACGGUACCCGCAGAAGAAGCCCCGGCUAACUCCGUGCCAGCAGCCGCGGUAAUACGGAGGGGGCUAGCGUUGUUCGGAAUUACUGGGCGUAAAGCGCGCGCAGGCGGCUAUUCUAG
rnacentral:rRNA from 1 species